rnacentral:rRNA from 1 species
UACAGAGGGUGCAAGCGUUGCUCGGAAUCAUUGGGCGUAAAGGGCAGGUAGGUGGUCUGAUUUGUCUGGAGGUGAAAGCCUUGGGCUUAACCCAAGAAGUGCCCCGGAAACGGUCAGACUUUGAGUCUUGGAGAGGGUUGCGGAAUUCCCGGUGUAGCGGUGAAAUGCGUAGAGAUCGGGAAGAACAUCAGUGGCGAAGGCGGCCUGCUGGGCUGUUGCUGACGCUGAGGCGCGACAGCGUGGGGGAGCAAACAGG